rnacentral:rRNA from 1 species
CCUACGGGUGGCAGCAGUGAGGAAUAUUGGUCAAUGGACGCAAGUCUGAACCAGCCAUGCCGCGUGCAGGAAGACGGCUCUAUGAAUUGUAAACUUCUUUUGUACGGGGAUAAACGCAGGUACUUGUAUCUGUCUGAAAGUAUCUUACGAAUAAGGAUCGGCUAACUCCGUGCCAGCAGCCGCGGUAAUACGGAGGAUUCAAGCGUUAUCCGGAUUUAUUGGGUUUAAAGGGUGCGUAGGCGGUCGGAUAAGUUAGAGGUGAAAUCCCGAGGCUCAACUUCGGAAUUGCCUCUGAUACUGUCCGGCUAGAGAGGAGGUGCGGUAGGCGGAAUGUAUGGUGUAGCGGUGAAAUGCUUAGAGAUCAUACAGAACACCGAUUGCGAAGGCAGCUUACCAAGCUAAUUCUGACGCUGAGGCACGAAAGCGUGGGGAGCAAACAGGAUUAGAUACCCCAGUAGUC